CCGCCAUCGCCGCCGCGGCGUCGCUCUCCGACGCGGCGAACAACCGCAGCUCCGCCGCGUCCGCCGCCGGCAGCGCGUCCAGCAGGGAGGACUCCAGAGCUGCCAGCCGGGCUGCCUCCUCUUCAUCCUCAUCCUCAUCCUCUUCCUCCUUCAUAGGGCAAUGCACGGCCAGUCUAAGCCGGGCUGCCUCCUCUUCAUCCUCAUCCUCUUCCUCCUCCGCAGGGCAGUGCACGGCCAGUCUAAGCCGGGCUGCCUCCUCUUCAUCCUCAUCCUCAUCCUCUUCCUCCUUCGUAGGGCAGUGCACGGCCAGUCUAAGCCGGGCUGCCUCCUCUUCAUCCUCCUCUUCCUCCUCUUCCUCCUCCGCAGGGCAAUGCAGGGCCAGUCCAAGCUGGGCUGCCUCCUCCUCUUCCUCCUCUUCCUCCUCCAUAGAGCACUGCAGGGCAAGUCUAAGCUGGGCUUCCUCCUCUUCAUCCUCCUCUUCCUCCUCUUCCUCCUCCAUAGAGCGCUGCAGGGCAAUCAGCAGCUGGGCUUCCUCCUCUUCCUCCUCUGCAGUGCAAUGCAGGGUCAGUCCAAGCUGGGCUUCCUCCUCCUCUUCCUCCUCUUCCUCCUCCAUAGAGCGCUGCAGGGCCAUCAGCAACUGUGCUUCCUCCUUCUCCUCUUCCUCUUCCUUUUUCUUAUCCAUCAUGGAGCGCUGCAGUGCCAUCGCCAGCUGUGCUUCCUCCUCCUCUUCCUCUUCCUCCUUCAUAGAGCGCUGCAGCGCCAUCGCCAGCUGUGCUUCCUCCUCUUCCUCUUCCUCUUCCUUUUUCUUAUCCAUCAUGGAGCGCUGCAGUGCCAUCGCCAGCCGUGCUUCCUCCUCCUCUUCUUCCUCCUCCUUCUCCCUCAUGGAUCGCUGCAGCGCCAUCGCCAGCUGCACUUCCUUCUCCUCUUCCUCCUCUUCCUCCUUCAUAGAGCGCUGCAGUGCCAUCGCCAGCUGUGCUUCCUCCUCCUCUUCCUCUUCCUCUUUCUUCUCCCUUAUGGAUCGCUGCAGUGCCAUCGCCAGCUGUGCUUCCUCCUCCUCUUCCUCCUCCUCCUCUUCCUCCUUCAUAGAGCGCUGCAGUGCCAUCGCCAGCCGUACUUCCUCCUCUUCUUCCUCCUUCUCCUUCUCCCUUAUGGAUCGCUGCAGCGCCAUCGCCAGCUGCACUUCCUCCUCCUCUUCCUCCUCUUCCUCCUUCAUAGAGCGCUGCAGCGCCAUCGCCAGCCGUGCUUCCUCCUCCUCUUCCUCUUCCUCUUUCUUCUCCCUUAUGGAUCGCUGCAGUGCCAUCGCCAGCUGUGCUUCCUCCUCCUCUUCUUCCUCCUCCUUCUCCCUCAUGGAUCGCUGCAGCGCCAUCGCCAGCUGUGCUUCCUCCUCCUCUUCCUCUUCCUCUUUCUUCUCCCUUAUGGAUCGCUGCAGUGCCAUCGCCAGCUGUGCUUCCUCCUCUUCUUCCUCCUCCUCCUCUUCCGCCUUCAUAGAGCGCUGCAGUGCCAUUGCCAGCCGUACUUCCUCCUCCUCUUCCUCCUUCUCCUUCUCCCUUAUGGAUCUCUGCAGUGCCAUCGCCAGCUGUGCUUCCUCCUCCUCUUCCUCUUCCUUCUCCUUCUCCCUUAUGGAUCGCUGCAGUGCCAUCGCCAGCUGUGCUUCCUCCUCCUCUUCCUCCUUCUCCUUCUCCCUUAUGGAUCUCUGCAGUGCCAUUUCCAGCUGUGCUUCCUCCUCCUCCUCCUCCUCCUCCUCCUCCUCUGCAGUGCCGGUGCCGCGGUGUGGCACCGUGGAUCUGCCGUCACGCAGAGCUGUUGGCAGCGCUGCCGCCUCCUCUGUGGGGCAGAGGGGCAGAUGGGGGGCGGGCGGUGGGACCUCAACGUGGGGAG
ensembl:lncRNA